rnacentral:misc_RNA from 1 species
GUUCCAAACUCACUUGUUGGUAAAGAUUCAAACUCAAAAAUAUGUUACAGCACUAGGUAUUCUAUAAUAAUUUACAAAAGCUUAAACCACCACACUAAAUUCCUUAAUAACUCAACAACAAAAACAAAAGUAGAGCAUCUCAUGCCAUAGACCCACCAACUUUGCGGCCGAAAAGGAUGCCAUCACCAGAUCUUAACCUUUUCCUCCUCAGCCUCUCUGCUAUAGCAAACGCCAGCUCUAAGGACUGUGAUGCAUUCAACCUAGGGUCACAAUGUGUAUGGUAACGAGAAUUUAAAUCAUCAAAAGUCACAGUCUUUGACCCUCCAACACACUCUGUUACAUUCUGCCCUGUCAUCUCGAGAUGGACUCCACCAGGGCAGCUGCCUUCUUGAUCAUGCACAUCAAAGAAUGCCCUAAGCUCAGACCUGAUUGCAUCAAAUGGACGUGUCUUAAGACCACAUGGAGCCUUAAUAGUAUUGCCAUGCAUGGGGUCACUGACCCAGGUGACUAUAAGCCCUGCCUGGCGUAUAGCUCUAAUGAGAUGGGGCAGUUUUAUCCGGAGGUUGUCUGGCCCCAUUCUGGCAAUUAUUGUCAACCUUCCAGGUCUGUUGUGAGGGUUAAGAAUUUCACACAACUUCACAAGCUCCUUUGGAUCCAUCUUGUCACUCACCUUGAUGCCAAGAGGGUUGGAAACACCUCGGAGGAAUUC